CUGAGUUAUGAGUACGGGGGCUGCUGAAUCAGGUCGUUACAAUGGUACACUGCUUGACGUUACAAUUUUGUGUUUAGUAGACCCUCACAUUUAAAUCGUUAUUAUGCCGCAGUGCAUGCUAUCGUGAAACGUCAUGCACUGAACGGUAACGUCUCUCCAUACAAGUAGGCCAUCGGAAAUCAUCAGGUGUCUUGCAGUCUUAAUAGUCUUAAACGUGCGAAUCAUAGGGCGAGUGUGUAAGUGGGAGUAGGAGGCCAUCGGAACUCAUUAGAUGUCUUGCAGUCUCAAUAGUCUUAAGAGGUUGUCUACGAUAGAACCAUGCAAAAUCAAAAAAUUAUUAUGGAAGGUGUUGUCAAAUUUUCAGACCUUUUUAUGAUAUUUCAAAAGUAUUUUACUAGUUAUAUCACAUUUUGUGCCAAAAUCGAUGAGUACCUCCCGAACUAACACCUAAUGGGCCGUUCUAUUUUUAGCACAAUAUACACAUCAAUUUCAUGCAAAAAUGGUGUAUUUUCAGCUAGUCAUUAAAAUAUCAAAAGCAGAAUAAUCACAUAUAAUUUCAGUUCCGCAUAGUCUAUUCGAACGGUAUCUUUGAAUUGGUGAACAUAACUUUAAAAUUCAUUCUCCAGAUUUAAGUCGUAUAGUGUUUGAACUAGUAAGACUAUGUAACUUUCAAAUUAAAUGCUAUUUUUAGUGGGUCAUAAAACCCCAAGAAACACUUAAAAUAAAUAGUUUCGUGGUUUGAAACACAGAAUUAUGCAUAAAUUAUCACUACUAAACGGGAAUUUGGUUGCAAAUAAAUAGAAAGUCAUUUAUUUGCGGUAUGAAAUUCGGAAAUUUUAUCAAAAAAUGAUCUCCCUUUGUGGAACUCUCAUGGGAAGAAGGUAAGGAAGAAUGAUUCAUAAGGCAGAUGACAACAACAUGGAAUGGGUGGAAAGUGAUGGAAGAUAAAUCUAUAGCCUUGGUGAAAAUUUCAAGCAAAGAGGGAGUUUAUUUACAUCAGGAUUGCAAGAAGUGUACUUCAGCAAAUAUUGAGAUUUUUAAAUAUCCAUCAGAAAUUGUGUGAAUUCCAGAAUCAUGGUUCACUGCACUAAACAGCUGUUGUGCAUUAACUAUGAUCUAGACUUAACAGACAUCAUCAUGCCUAUGCCAGUCAUGGACAUUGACUUUGAAUAAAGAACAACAUGUUGUCACCCAUUACAUGACAAAUCUAACUCAGAUGUGAAAGGGGGGGGGGGUGUGACUCUGUGACUCCAAAGCUGAUAGAUCUGCCACAUUGCUCAAGCUGACAACACAUGUUCCAUUGAUUCUGACAAGACAAUGCAUUGAGAAACACAAAAAUUAUGUCCAGAUUAAGACAGAUGUAAAGAAAGAGUUGAAAGAUGUUUCUGAAGUAAGACAGCCAUACCCCUGCUUUCCAAGGAACCAAACAAUUACUUUCCUUGUAUUGACAUGGUGAAAAAUGAGGAGGGUCCAGAAAAUGAUGAAGACCUCCAGAAUGUCAUCAGUGACAUUGUUGCAAUUGAAUGUAGCCAAUUAUUAUCCAAUAUAUAUUAGCUAUGACUGAACUCAUAAGUGGUUAAGGAAAACUGUUUUAAUUUUUUAUUCAGGUCAUUUAAUCCUUUAGGUUGAAAUAAAUAUCUACUGCUUGGAGGUUAUUUUACAUAUCUCAGGAUUUUUUAGAUGUCAGAUUUCCUAAAAUUCACACUUGUGCUUUCAUUUUUUUUUGGUUGGUAUAAAUGUACACAAAAAAUGAAUGUUCUUCUAUGGGAUAUUUUUGCCAAUAGUUUCAUUUGAAAGUUACAACAACAAAAAAGAAGAAAAAAAGAAUUGCAAUGAUUAAAUCUGUAUGGUUAUAAUGAAUUUGUCUUUCAUGAUCUUGUAUGUGACGUUCAUGAUUUUUUUUUUUUACAUUACCUGACUUACAGUGGAAUAUCAACCCAACCCCCAUCUUUUAUGGCUUUAAUUACAAUAAAACUACAUAUGCAGAGUGAAUUUAAAACAUGAAUAUCAUAUGUUGUAAUUCCCUGCUGAAUUUGAUAGAAAGCAAAAACGCUUUGAAUACACGAUUCUUGUAUAUGGCUACAAUAAAUGUACUGUUUAUUGGUGGAAGGUAAUGGUGGAAGAUGUUUUAAAAAUAACCCCUCUCCCUCCAAUAUUGGGUCAAAGUACAACAAACAAUGAUUUUUACCCUUCAUUAAUGCUCAUGCAUGACAUGUGCAAUGAUAUUAUUACGUUAUCUGAAGAUUUUAACUCUACACAACCAACAUUAUUACCCCACCCCCUUUUUUUCUUGCAUACCCCCCCCCCCCCCCCCAUAUACACUAAAUUUCAUUUCCAACCAAAUUCCCUUGAACAUGUAUUAGAAAUUGAUAGGUUCUACACAUGUAUCAAAUAUGAUGUCUAUUGAAGCGUUUCUUGGGCAACUAUACCUGUUUCAGUGCAAAUAGGUGAAAUUACAUAAUUAUGUAGGUAAAAUUUCAGCAUUUCCUUCAUUUUAAAACUUUGAUAUUUUAUUGCAUUGUGUAUUAAAUUUUGAUUGUUUAUGUGUUAUCGAUUCCUAUUUGUCUCUGCAAUAUCAUGAAAUAGGUAUCAUUAAAUUGCAAGACAUGGGUUUUGCAAUAAACCAAAAAGAAA